GUUUUGUAUACAUAUCCAUUUUAGAUCUCUUUCUGGUCCUUACUUUUGUCGUGUUCCUCUGUAUUUCUCAAACCCUCUGCUUCUAACUGCUGCCUCUUCUCUCCACAGAAUGCAUCUGUCUGCCCCCUUUACUUGUCCUAAUGAUGGAUACUUAGGAUGCUGCGGAUUCCUGUCUCACAGCCAACAACACUCAUCUGUCCCCUCGUGGAGUCCAGACUGAAUUGCUCAGAGGCAUGUGGCCAGGAGGCAAUGAUAUAAGACAAGCGCAGGUCAUGAUCUCCUGCAUCAGUGAAUGGAGCCCAGAGUUGGGCUCACUCAGCUCAGAGUCUGCUUGGGAUUCUCCCUCUCCCUCUGCACACCGCCCCCCCCCAGCCCCUGCUCUCUCUCUCUUGCAUGUGCUCUCUCUCUCUAAUGGAUAAAUAAAUCUUAAAAUAAAACAAACAAACAAAGAAAAACUUCUGCUGUGCAAAAGACACUGCCAAGUGAAUGAGAAGACAAACCACAGAUUAGGAGAAAAUAUUUGCAAAAAAUACAUCUGAUCAAGUCUUGCUAGCUAAAAUAUACAAAGACCUCUUCAAUCAGAAAUAAGAAAACCAAUAAUCCAAUUUUAAAAAUGGACAAAAGACCUGAAAAGAUUUCACCAAAGAAGAUAUGCAGAUGGAAAAUGAACACAUGAAAAGAUGCUCUACACCCAAUGUCAUUAGGGAAUUGGAAAUUAAAACCAUGAGAUACCCCUGCAAACCUACCAGAAUGACCAAAAUCCAGGACACUGACAACACCAAAUGCUGGCAAGGAUGUGGAGCAACAGGAACUCUCAUCCAUUCCUGGUGAGAAUGCAAAAUGGUACAGCCACUUCAGAAGACAAUUUGGCAGUUUCUUCCAAAACUAACAUGCUCUUACCAUAUGAUCCAGCAAGUGUGGUCCUUGGUAUUUACCCAAAUGUGUUGAAAAAUCUAUGUUCCAUAUAAAAUCCUG
rnacentral:lncRNA from 1 species